UUCCUUAGAGGAAGUAAAAGUUGUAACCAGGUUUCCGUAGGUGAACCUGCGGAAGGAUCAUUACCGAGUCGUCGACACGAGUUGUUGCUGGCCCCUCAAACGGGGGGCAUGUGCACGCUCUGUUAACACAUCCACUCACACCUGUGCACACUCCGUAGUUCUAUGGUCUGGGGGACAUGCCGUCUUCCUCCUGUAGUUCUGCGUCUUUACACAUACACUGUAGAAAAGUCUUAUGGAAUGCUUACCGCGUCUAACGCAAUACAAUACAACUUUCAGCAACGGAUCUCUUGGCUCUCGCAUCGAUGAAGAACGCAGCGAAAUGCGAUAAGUAAUGUGAAUUGCAGAAUUCAGUGAAUCAUCGAAUCUUUGAACGCACCUUGCGCCCCUUGGCUAUUCCGAGGGGCAUGCCUGUUUGAGUAUCAUGAACACCUCAACUCUUGUGGUUCGCCAUGAAGAGCUUGGACUUGGGGGCUUGCUGGCGCACAUCCGGCUCCUCUCAAAUGAAUUAGCCUGCCAGUGUUUGGUGGCGUCACGGGUGUGAUAACUAUUUACGCUUGUGGUUGCCUGCCAGGUAACCUUCGGUGACGGAGGUUCGCUGGAGCUUAUAAACGUCUUUCCUUGGUGAAGACAGCUUUCUGAACGUUCGAUCUCAAAUCAGGUAGGACUACCC
rnacentral:rRNA from 1 species